rnacentral:tRNA from 1 species
GGAAUAGUACUUUAAUUAAAAGUUUUAAUUUGCAUUUAAAAAAUAGGUGUUCCUUUAUUCCA